GACGAACGCUGGCGGCGUGCUUAACACAUGCAAGUCGAACGGAAAGGCCCUGCUUUUGUGGGGUGCUCGAGUGGCGAACGGGUGAGUAACACGUGAGUAACCUGCCCUUGACUUUGUGAUAACUUCAGGAAACUGGGGUUAAUACCGGAUAGGAGCUCCUGCUGCAUGGUGGGGGUUGGAAAGUUUCGGCGGUUGGGGAUGGACUCGCGGCUUAUCAGCUUGUUGGUGGGGUAGUGGCUUACCAAGGCUUUGACGGGUAGCCGGCCUGAGAGGGUGACCGGCCCCAUUGGGACUGAGUGCCGCCCCAGCCCCCGCCGGGCGGCGGAGGGGGGAAUUUUGGCCCAGGGGGCGGAAGCUGUAUGCAGCACCGCCGCGUGGGGGAGCGCGGCCUUCGGUUUGAAACCCGUUUUCCCCGGUAACGAAGGGUGAGGGCGGUUAGGGGAUAAAAAGCCCCCGGCUAACUCCUUC
rnacentral:rRNA from 1 species